GUUUCAGGGCGAGGUGAAAAUCCUCACCGGCGGUAAUAAAUUUAAAAUUUUCGGGAAAAGUUCAUUAAAUGAACCGUUUUCCGUCAAUUGAAAAUUGCGAGUCCGCGAGCCGAAAGGCCGAUCCGGUCAGAUUCCGGAACCGACGGUAUAGUCCGGACGAAAGAAA
rnacentral:ncRNA from 1 species